rnacentral:rRNA from 1 species
UACGUAGGUGGCAAGCGUUGUCCGGAUUUAUUGGGUUAAAGGGUGCGUAGGCGGUUUUUUAAGUCAGUGCUGAAAUACUCCAGCUUAACUGGAGGGGUGGCAUUGAUACUGGAAGACUUGAGUACAGAUGAGGUAGGCGGAAUUGACGGUGUAGCGGUGAAAUGCAUAGAUAUCGUCAAGAACACCGAUAGCGAAGGCAGCUUACUGGGCUGUAACUGACGCUGAUGCACGAAAGUGUGGGGAUCAAACAGG